GACGAACGCUGGCGGCGUGCCUAAUACAUGCAAGUCGAGCGCAGGAAACUGACGGAACUCUUCGGAGGGAAGGCAGUGGAAUGAGCGGCGGACGGGUGAGUAACACGUAAGGAACCUGCCUCAAGGAUUGGGAUAACUCCGAGAAAUCGGAGCUAAUACCGGAUAGUUCAACGGACCGCAUGGUCCGCUGAUGAAAGGCGCUCCGGCGUCACCUUGAGAUGGCCUUGCGGUGCAUUAGCUGGUUGGUGGGGUAACGGCCCACCAAGGCGACGAUGCAUAGCCGACCUGAGAGGGUGAUCGGCCACACUGGGACUGAGACACGGCCCAGACUCCUACGGGAGGCAGCAGUAGGGAAUCCUCCACAAUGGACGAAAGUCUGAUGGAGCAACGCCGCGUGAGUGAUGAAGGUUUUCGGAUCGUAAAACUCUGUUGUAAGGGAAGAACACGUACGAGAGGGAAUGCUCGUACCUUGACGGUACCUUACGAGAAAGCCACGGCUAACUACGUGCCAGCCGCCGCCGUAACAC
rnacentral:rRNA from 1 species